CAAUAGCGUAUAUUAAAGUUGUUGCAGUUAAAAAGCUCGUAGUUGGAUUUCUGAUCGAGACAUCAGGUCGGGUCCGAGAGGAUCAUGUACUUUGAUUUUGUUUUGAUCAUCCUUGGGGAGAGCAUUUCUGGCAUUCAGUUGUCGGGAUUGGGAUCCUCAUCGUUUACUGUGAAAAAAUUAGAGUGUUCAAAGCAGGCCUCGGCCUCUGAAUACAUUAGCAUGGAAUAAUAAGAUAGGACUUUGGUGGUCUAUUUUGUUGGUUUGCACGCCAAAGUAAUGAUUAAUAGGGGUAGUUGGGGGUAUUCGUAUUCAAUUGUCAGAGGUGAAAUUCUUGGAUUUAUGGAAGACGAACUACUGCGAAAGCAUUUACCAAGGAUGUUUUCAUUAA
rnacentral:rRNA from 1 species